GUGCCGGAAGGCAGGCGGGGCUGACGGGCACUUUGGCACGCCGGUCCGGGACCCCUACAGGAUUCAGGGCGCAGGAGUCAUGAGUCAGCUUGAGCUGCCCGCGUGAGAUGUGCUGCGGUUGAAGAGUGGCUCCAGCUGCUGCCAAGCUAACUGCCUCUCUUCCUGGCGAGCAAGCAGGGUUCUAUUUCACCCAUAUUGGAACCAGCUCUCAGUUGACUGCAAGUGAAUUCCGAGCCAGUCCAAGAGAAUAUGGCAUCUUGCUUCACACCUUUGUUGAGACCUGAUGGUGUUCGCAUUUCAGGCCCCAGGCUCGGUGGUUUCCAGAGCAUUCAAAGGGAAGAAGGAGAGAUGUUCUAUGUGAAACAUGUUACACCACGUCUCCUGCGAUGGUCUCCCUCAGAAGCCCACUGGGCAAGUGGUCAGAGCGUUUCCAGAAGCACUUACGCUCUCCCCUCUCUCGGAAGACAGGUACAUCUACAAGCUACUGCAGGAGACGAGAUGACCGGCACAUCUCACAGCGGCCACCUCCACAUGGGGCCUAGGUGUGUGGGUCUCCAAGUAGCACCCCCAGCCAGGGCGGCUGUGAGACUCUUUGUUAUCAUGAAUUCCAGGCUCAGCCCCGGGACCGAACGCGCGGCUGAGACGGCCCUGCCCCCGCGCUGUAACAGCCCUCUUCUGACGUCCACGAGCAGCCCCGCGCUGCUGCCAAAUAAGACGCCCAGGCUGCGGCUGCAGCUGAGCUGGUAGUGAUUAGCUGCCUUGCGCAAAGCCCCGGAUGCAGUGUCCAGCCCUACAUCAGCAGCAUAUGGUGGUGCACAUGCCCAUUACCCUAGCUCUUUGUGGAGACAGGAGGACCAAAAGUUUGAGAUCAUCUUGUGCUACAUAGAGUCUGAGGCCACAUGACUAGACAACAUGAUGGGACCUCAAAAAAAAAAAGAACACCUCCCAGCUUCUGCUAAACCAAGUCUAAAAUAAAUACUGUCCUGUCACAUAUCCA